rnacentral:lncRNA from 1 species
AAAAAAUUUGUCAUUUUUGAUGGGCGAGGAACUAUCCAUUAGUUUCUUCUUCACAUUAAUCAUGGGAAGCUUCCUUGUCUGGGGUUUCUUUAAAAAUAACAAGUUCCAGAGUGAAUUAAUCAAGCCAGGUCAGAGUCAGAAGUUAGACUCAGAGAGAGAGUUAAUAAUUGUUAGUGAACAAAAAAAUGACAAUGAUGUGAGCUUAAUGACAGCAAAGUAUGGAACUGUAUAGCAUAUACAACAAACAUUUGUGUUACAACAAACAGUGUGAACAUCUGAACAUUUAGUAUUAGCAUAUUAGAAUACAUUAGUAUUAGAAUAACUGUCAAGAUGGAUUAUCGAUAUAAGAUUGGCAAAACUCUCUCUCUCUCUCUCUCUCUCU